rnacentral:rRNA from 1 species
AUUGAACGCUGGCGGCAUGCCUUACACAUGCAAGUCGAACGGCAGCACGGGGGCAACCCUGGUGGCGAGUGGCGAACGGGUGAGUAAUGCAUCGGAACGUGCCCAGUAGUGGGGGAUAACUAGUCGAAAGAUUAGCCUAAUACCGCAUACGACCUAUGGGUGAAAGCGGGGGAUUCGCAAGAAACCUUCGCGCUAUCGGAGCGGCCGAUGUCUGAUUAGCUAGUGGCGGGGUAAAGGCCCACCAAGGCUUCGAUCAGUAGCUGGUCUGAGGGGACGACCAGCCACACUGGGACUGAGACACGGCCCAGACUCCUACGGGAGGCAGCAGUGGGGAAUUUGGACAAUGGGCGCAAGCCUGAUCCAGCCAUGCCGCGUGCGGGAAGAAGGCCU